UACGAAGGGGGCUAGCGUUGUUCGGAUUUACUGGGCGUAAAGCGCACGUAGGCGGUUUGUUAAGUCAGGGGUGAAAUCCCGGAGCUCAACUCCGGAACUGCCUUUGAUACUGGCAAGCUAGAGUCCGGAAGAGGUAAGUUGGAACUCCGUAGUGUAGAGGUGGAAUUCGUAGAUAUUAGGGAAGAACAGCAAGUCGGCGAAGGCGGACGUUGACUAGGUCCGGC
rnacentral:rRNA from 1 species